rnacentral:rRNA from 1 species
AUUGAACGCUGGCGGCAGGCUUAACACAUGCAAGUCGAGCGGAACGAGGGUGCUUGCACCUUAGCUUAGCGGCGGACGGGUGAGUAAUGCUUAGGAAUCUGCCUAUUAGUGGGGGACAACAUUCCGAAAGGAAUGCUAAUACCGCAUACGCCCUACGGGGGAAAGCAGGGGAUCUUCGGACCUUGCGCUAAUAGAUGAGCCUAAGUCGGAUUAGCUAGUUGGGGGGGUAAAGGCCUACCAAGGCGACGAUCUGUAGCGGGUCUGAGAGGAUGGUCCGCCACACUGGGACUGAUGCACGGCCCAGACUCCUACGGGAGGCAGCAGUGGGGAAUAUUGGACAAUGGGCGGAAGCCUGAUCCAGCCAUGCCGCGUGUGUGAAGAAGGCCUUUUGGUUGUAAAGCACUUUAAGCGAGGAGGAGGCUACUUAGAUUAAUACUCUAGGGUAGUGGACGUUACUCGCAGAAUAAGCACCGGCUAACUCUGUGCCAGCCGCCGCCGUAAGAC